rnacentral:rRNA from 1 species
UACGUAGGGGGCAAGCGUUGUCCGGAUUUAUUGGGCGUAAAGAGCGUGUAGGCGGCUUUACAGGUCCGUUGUGAAAACUCGAGGCUCAACCUCGAGACGCCGGUGGAAACCGUAAGGCUAGAGUCCGGAAGAGGAGAGUGGAAUUCCUGGUGUAGCGGUGAAAUGCGCAGAUAUCAGGAGGAACACCAGUGGCGAAGGCGGCUCACUGGCUCGGUACUGACGCUGAGGUGCGAAAGCGUGGGGAGCAAACAGG